GACGAACGCUGGCGGCGUGCCUAAUACAUGCAAGUAGAACGCACAGUUUAUACCGUAGCUUGCUACACCAUAGACUGUGAGUUGCGAACGGGUGAGUAACGCGUAGGUAACCUGCCUGGUAGCGGGGGAUAACUAUUGGAAACGAUAGCUAAUACCGCAUAAUAUUAAUUAUUGCAUGAUAAUUAAUUGAAAGGUGCAAUUGCACCACUACCAGAUGGACCCGCGUUGUAUUAGCUAGUAGGUGAGGUAACGGCUCACCUAGGCGACGAUACAUAGCCGACCUGAGAGGGUGAUCGGCCACACUGGGACUGAGACACGGCCCAGACUCCUACGGGAGGCAGCAGUAGGGAAUCUUCGGCAAUGGACGAAAGUCUGACCGAGCAACGCCGCGUGAGUGAAGAAGGUUUUCGGAUCGUAAAGCUCGGUUGUAAGAGAAGAACGGGUGUGAGAGUGGAAAGUUCACACUGUGACGGUAUCUUACCAGAAAGGGACGGCUAACUACGUG
rnacentral:rRNA from 1 species